rnacentral:rRNA from 1 species
UAGGGAAUCUUCGGCAAUGGACGAAAGUCUGACCGAGCAACNCCGCGUGAGUGAAGAAGGUUUUCGGAUCGUAAAACUCUGUUGGUAGAGAAGAACGUUGGUGAGAGUGGAAAGCUCAUCAAGUGACGGUAACUACCCAGAAAGGGACGGCUAACUACGUGCCAG